GCGUGCGCAUGCUCCCGAUUGCGGGACCGGUGAUGGUAAGAUUAGACCUGUCAGGGCAUAUGGGCGGAAACGAAAAGAUCAUUAAAUGCCUUAGUGUAUGCUUAUACUUCCUGCCUAUAGGUGACUGCAUAGUGACUGGAAUAAGCAUGCAAAAUGUUCUACUAAUUGGGGAGAAUCUUGGUGGCUGUGCAUCUAUUUCUGGAUCAUUGCUUGGGGAGAAUA